rnacentral:rRNA from 1 species
UACGGGAGGCAGCAGUGAGGAAUAUUGGUCAAUGGGCGCGAGCCUGAACCAGCCAAGUAGCGUGAAGGAAGAAGGUCUUCGGAUCGUAAACUUCUGUCCUUGGGGAAGAAGAAGUGACGGUACCCAUGGAGGAAGCCCCGGCUAACUACGUGCCAGCAGCCGCGGUAAU